GAUGAACGCUGGCGGCAUGCCUAAUACAUGCAAGUCGAACGAGAGGAAGGAAAGCUUGCUUUUCUGAAUCUAGUGGCGAACGGGUGAGUAACACGUAGGUAACCUGCCCAUGUGCCCGGGAUAACUUCUGGAAACGGAUGCUAAAACCGGAUAGGUAGCAGACAAGCAUUUGACUGCUAUUAAAGUGGCUAAGGCCAUGAACAUGGAUGGACCUGCGGUGCAUUAGCUAGUUGGUGAGGUAACGGCCCACCAAGGCGACGAUGCAUAGCCGGCCUGAGAGGGCGGAAGGCCACAUUGGGACUGAGACACGGCCUAAACUCCUACGGGAGGCAGCAGUAGGGAAUUUUCGUCAAUGGGGGGAACCCUGAACGAGCAAUGCCGCGUGAGUGAGGAAGGUCUUCGGAUCGUAAAGCUCUGUUGUAAGAGAAAAACGACAUUCAUAGGGAAUGAUGAGUGAGUGAUGGUAUCUUACCAGAAAGUCACGGCUAACUACGUGCCAGCCGCCGCUGUAACAC
rnacentral:rRNA from 1 species